GUGGGGAAUUUUGGACAAUGGGCGCAAGCCUGAUCCAGCAAUGCCGCGUGCAGGAAGAAGGCCCUCAGGGUUGUAAACGGCUUUUGACGGUGAAGAACCGACAGGAUGCGUCCUGUUUUGACGGUAGCCGUUGAAUAAGCACCGGCUAACUCCGUGCCAGCAGCCGCGGUAAUACGGAGGGUGCGAGCGUUGUCCGGAUUUAUUGGGUUUAAAGGGUGCGUAGGCUGGAAGGUCAGUCAGCGGUGAAAAGCUGUCGCUUAACGAUAGUCUUGCCGCAGAUACUUCCUUUCUUGGAUGAGGAGGAGGCCACUGGAACGGAUGGUGUAGCGGUGAAAUGCAUAGAUAUCAUCCAGAACACCGAUUGCGAAGGCAGGUGGCUGUACCUUAAUCGACGCUGAUGCACGAAAGCAUGGGGAGCAAACAGGAUUAGAAACCCCUGUAGUCC
rnacentral:rRNA from 1 species